UAGUAACGGCGAGUGAAGCGGCAACAGCUCAAAUUUGAAAUCUGGCUCCCUUUGGGGGUCCGAGUUGUAAUUUGCAGAGGAUGCUUUGGCAUCGGCGGUGGUCUAAGUUCCUUGGAACAGGACAUCACAGAGGGUGAGAAUCCCGUACGUGGUCACCUGCCUUUGCCGUGUAAAGCUCCUUCGACGAGUCGAGUUGUUUGGGAAUGCAGCUCUAAAUGGGAGGUAAAUUUCUUCUAAAGCUAAAUACCGGCCAGAGACCGAUAGCGCACAAGUAGAGUGAUCGAAAGAUGAAAAGUACUUUGGAAAGAGAGUCAAAAAGCACGUGAAAUUGUUGAAAGGGAAGCGCUUGCAGCCAGACUUGCCCGCAGUUGCUCACCUAGGCUUUUGCCUGGGGCACUCUUCUGCGGGCAGGCCAGCAUCAGUUUGGGCGGUCGGAUAAAGGUCUCUUUCAUGUAUCUUCCUUCGGGAUGACCUUAUAGAGGAGACGUAAUGCGACCAGCCCGGACUGAGGUCCGCGCAUCUGCUAGGAUGCUGGCGUAAUGGCUGUAAGCGGCCCGUCUUGAAACACGGACCAAGGAGUCUAACAUCUAUGCGAGUGUUUGGGUGUCAAGCCCGGGCGCGCAAUGAAAGUGAACGGAGGUGGGAACCUUUUAGGUGCACCAUCGACCGAUCCUGAUGUCUUCGGAUGGAUUUGAGUAAGAGCAUAGCUGUUGGGACCCGAAAGAUGGUGAACUAUGCUUGAAUAGGGUGAAGCCAGAGGAAACUCUGGUGGAGGCUCGCAGCGGUUCUGACGUGCAAAUCGAUCGUCAAAUUUGGGCAUAGGGGCGAAAGACUAAUC
rnacentral:rRNA from 1 species